rnacentral:tRNA from 1 species
GGAAAAAUAUUUAAAAAAUAAAACUUAGAUUGCAUUUAAGAAUUGUCUCUGACUUUUUCC